rnacentral:rRNA from 1 species
UACGUAGGGUCCGAGCGUUGUCCGGAAUUAUUGGGCGUAAAGAGCUCGUAGGCGGUGUGUCGCGUCGGCCGUGAAAACCUGGGGCUCAACUCUGGGCGUGCGGUCGAUACGGGCAUCACUUGAGUUCGGCAGGGGAGACUGGAAUUCCUGGUGUAGCGGUGAAAUGCGCAGAUAUCAGGAGGAACACCGGUGGCGAAGGCGGGUCUCUGGGCCGAUACUGACGCUGAGGAGCGAAAGCGUGGGGAGCGAACAGG